AUUGAACGCUGGCGGCAGGCCUAACACAUGCAAGUCGAGCGAGCGGCGGACGGGUGAGUAAUGUCUGGGAAACUGCCCGCUGGAGGGGGGUAACUACUGGAAACGGUAGCUAAUAUCGCAUACCAUCAGAUGUGCCCAGAUGGGAUUAGCUAGUCGGUGGGGUAACGGCUCACCUAGGCGACGAUCCCUAGCUGGUCUGAGAGGAUGACCAGCCACACUGGAACUGAGACACGGUCCAGACUCCUACGGGAGGCAGCAGUGGGGAAUAUUGCACAAUGGGCGAAAGCCUGAUGCAGCCAUGCCGCGUGUAUGAUGAAGGCCUUCGGGUUGUAAAGGACUUUCAGCGGGGAGGCGUUACCCGCAGAAGAAGCACCGGCUAACUACGUGCCAGCAGCCGCGGUAAUUC
rnacentral:rRNA from 1 species